CUCAAAAUUUUCACACUUAGAAAAAAAAUUGCGCCCGACCCCAAAACUGAAACACAAACCCUAAGCUCAUUGUCGACCUCCAUUCUCAACCCAGACUCGAGCUCCUCCUCCUCCUCCUCACCAUCACAAUCCUCCCUCCUUCAUUCUCAGGAGGAAUCUGAAGCGCCGAGAUCCCGACCUCGAUCUAAAAUUGAAGUAACAGCUCUGAAUCCUGAGCCAGGCCUCGAUCUGAGAUUGGCAGAGUUGAAGAAAUUAAAGAGGAAUGGUUCUUUCCUCUCAAGCCCCACCGAAGUCGGGGUUGGAGCCCUAAACUCGAACACAGCAACCCAGCUGCACUCAACUGCGCCAUUUCUGACUCUCUCCGUGACUCCGUGUCUCCGUCUCCGCCAUUUCUGAUUCUCUCCGUCCCUGACCCUCCGUUUCCGCCUCUCCGGUCUCCCAUCUCCGAGUCUCCGUCUCCAAGCUCCAGGCCCAGAUUGGAGCUACUUUCAUGGCCAGGCGGCCAGCAGAAUCUAGAUGACUAGAUUGGGAAAAUCGAUCCCAUUGAUCUGCUAUGAUGCUUCUUUGCUUCGGUCAAUCUCGACCAAACGAUCACCUCAAUGAAAAUUGAAAUCGCUUGGUGACUGUAUUCAGAUAUUCUUCUUCUUCAAUUCAUCAAUUGCCCCACCUAUUCACCUAUUGUCAUCACCAAUUUUCGAGAACUGCUGCUUCAUAUGUGUAAGGUUAGUGUCGAGAAGCCCUCAGAAGCAGAGGCCCACAAUUCCUUUGAGAAAGCCCUCACAAUUCCUUUGAGAAGCCCUCAGAAGCAAAGGGCCACAAUUCCUUUCAAACCACUGAGCUUCUCUCUAUUUUGCUUCAAUACCAGAAAUCUACUUUCUCUUGAUUUUCCUCUGCUGAACUUGCUACAAGGACUGGUAUAAUCUAGGUGGUUUCCAGGUAGGAGGUGAGAUCAAUUCAGAUAAUUCUUUGGAAUACAUAGAAGAAGGGGCUCGCCACGUCAUUGUCACUUCUGCGAUAUGUAUUUAAUAAUGGGCAAAACCUUGAAAGGCUUAAAGAUCUUGUUCUUGUUGUUGGAAAAGAAAGGCUUGUUUUAGACCUUAGCUGUAGAAAGAGGGAAGGUAAAUAUGCAAUUGUCACAGAUAGAUGGCAAAAGUUCAGUGACGUGUAUCUUGACAAGGAAAUAUUAGACUUCCUUGCCAAGUAUGCAGAUGAGUUUCUGGUACAUGGUGUCGAUGUGGAAGGGAAAAAUUUUAGGCAGUGUUUGGUGAGACUUCUUCUGAUAAUCAACUAGCAGAAGAACAUAUGUAUAGCUGGUUUGACUUUUGAAGAUGAUCCAGUUGAUAAAAGUGAAAAGCUGGAACGAGAUGGGAAACAAUGGGUUGAUAUGUGCUCUUCAAGAUGUUAUGUACCCAGAGUGCAUGAUAAUGUCCUGCUGCAAAAGUGGCUAUGUGAGAAUAAUACAAAACGUUUUCUUUAGCAUAAUUUACCCCAACCUAACCCUGGCUGACCUGAAUAAAGAACUGUUCAGUAAUUGGUGCUAGGGUAGGUAUUCACAAUCUGGUCAGUUCAAGUGUGUUUAUUAUACAAAUAAAUAAAUAAAUAAAUAAAAGCACAUUUAUGUAGAUUAUGUUAAAUUUCUACUUGUUUCUGACUAUAUCAGGAGCUCAGUUAAGGCCCUGGAAGUCUCUCAUUUUGCUAGUUACUGAUGUCACUGAAAACAUGUGCAUAUAAGUAUACCAUUUUUCUUGUGCUCCUUGAAUCCUGUUUUCUUUUUCUUUUUCUUUUUAUGGAGAAGAGUGCUCCUUGAAUCCUUAAGCCUGAUACUCUUAACUUUCUUUUUAUCUUGUGCUUUACAGAUUAUGAAAAUAAUGUUUCUGAAUACAGGGUUUGUGCAUCUGGCUUCUGUUAUCCUUAUUCUUAUCUUUUCCCAUCAAGUUCUUUAUAUGGGCAGUUUUAUUAUACUGUUUUCCUAUGAUACAUCAUAACUGCUUCUUGGAGUUGUUGUGAUAGUGUUUUUUUUUCUUUUUCUUUUUCUCUUUUUUUCUUUUCUCCGUGAUAGCUUCUCUGAGCAUUUGUAUAAUUCGCUAGUAUGUGUUGUUUCAUUGUUAUAUCAAGAAUCAGUUCAAAUUGGAGCUAGUCUUAUGGUUGCUCAGAAUUAUACUGAAAUGUUCAACCAAUGAUACUUAAAUUCAAAUAAUAAGUGAUGCAUUUUGAAAUCCACAAUCAGAAAUUACGCAAGCAUAUAUAUUUGGCUGAUUGUAAAGUUGCUCAAAUGACAUGGCAUGUUAGCAUUCUUCUAGUAGUUUGUCCCCUAAGUAGUGGUAAAAUUAACAAUAGCAUUCUGCUGCCUAUCAAUGUUACUGCAGAUCACUAUCUUCUCUUUGAUUUUCCAACACCAGGAAUAUUAUCAUGAAACUCAUAAGAAGUUAAACCUCAGGUUAUGAUUAUAUUCUUCUUUUGUGAUAUUGUUGCUUUGACCAUUCACCAUGACCAUGAAUGAUUGAUGUGCCUUCUGCUCUUCAUUUGGUUGGCUUCCUGAUUUUCUGCAGUUGGCUGCAACGCAUUUAGUUGACGCCCAUAUAUGCAGUGACGUUGCAAAGUAUGUUACUGCAUUUCUUGUUUUUUAUCAACCAUGAUACAUUUGGAGCUCCCACACAUAAAUGUCUUCUCUAAGAUUGAUUUGAUACAUAACUAUGGAAGCUAGGUACUUGCAUGAACUUCUUACUCAAAGAGAUGAAUUUGACACCAUUGCUUUGUUGAUCCGGCAUCUACAUAUAAUUGUCAAAGACCAGACUUUGUACGUAUUGAAGUGGCUGACUAUAUACAGAGUAUGGCUACCAACAUGAUUUUGAGUAAGACUAGUUUUUGCUUUGAAGCAGAGUUUGGUGUUGAACUUUUGUAGUUGGUUGCUAGUAUGUUUAUAGGCUAGCCUUUGUAGGUUUUGGGGUUUUAUUUUGUGAAUUAUGUAGAAUCAUGAAUGAAGAUGAGAAAAUUAAUGGAAAGCCCCAAUUUUUGAAUGAUGAGAAA